rnacentral:lncRNA from 1 species
AGUUCAUCUAGAAUCACUUUCAAGUGUUGACAGAAAUGACAUGUUCUCACAAAACUGUCUUUUUUUUCUUUUUUUUUUUUCAUAGUCAGUAGACAUAUCUCAAACAGCAAGCAUUUGAAACUGAGGAUUUGAUGGAAAACUGAGUGAGGAGUUCAUGAACAACUUACAGGCAACAGCUGAAGUUCCAAAUAAGAGCAUAAUUUGCAACUACCAGAGAAGCACAGCAUGGGCGUGAGUCAACAGCAGAUGGAUCCAACAGUACUUAUAAACAACUUUCCAGAAGGCUGUGUGCAGGCCUGGAUCAAUCCAUGUAGGGAAUAAAGAGCUUGAAUUUAUAAGUGUGAAAAGAAGAGUCCACAAAGCCAGAUGAAUCUGAAAAACUGGAGAAAAGAGGUAACUGACACAAUGUUGUCAGAAAACUUUUAAAUUUGUGUCUCCCACCUGAUAGGAGAAUACACAGGAGAAACAGGAAAAUAUGUGGCUGCAGAUAGGGGUGUGAGGUGUUCACUUUUGCACCAGGAUAUAUGUUAAAUAUCCCUCAAUUUCCUAAUUGAAGGAAACUUUUCUGUGUCCAAAGUUGAAGUCAGUAUGAUUUUGGCAAGUGCCUCAAAAAUAAUGUCAAAAGGAAGGCAGGAAAAGUCAUGUUACAAUACCCAAUAUAUACUGAGAAACUUAAACUGAGUUAUAUUUUC